GACGAACGCUGGCGGCGUGCUUAACACAUGCAAGUCGAACGGAAAGGCCCCUUUGGGGGUACUCGAGUGGCGAACGGGUGAGUAACACGUGAGUAACCUGCCCUUGACUUCGGGAUAACUUCAGGAAACUGGGGCUAAUACCGGAUAGGAAUCCUUGCUGCAUGGUGGGGGUUGGAAAGCUUCGGCGGUUUUGGAUGGACUCGCGGCUUAUCAGCUUGUUGGUGGGGUAGUGGCUUACCAAGGCUAUGACGGGUAGCCGGCCUGAGAGGGCGACCGGCCACAUUGGGACUGAGAUACGGCCCAGACGCCUACGGGAGGCAGCAGUGGGGAAUAUUGCACAAUGGGCGGAAGCCUGAUGCAGCAACGCCGCGUGCGGGAUGACGGCCUUCGGGUUGUAAAACGCUUUCAGCAGGGGCGAAGCUUGUGGUGACGGUACCUGCAGAAGAAGCACCGGCUAACUACGUG
rnacentral:rRNA from 1 species